UGAUGAUUUGCAAACUGCUGGCAACUUUUGCUUGAUACCUGUCCUUAACUAGAGUGUGAUGACUUUGUUUACUUGGUCAGUUGGAGUUUUAGCUGCUUUAUAAUUAGCUUACCUCUGGUCAGAAACAGAAACUACUUCUCUUAAGACAUGAUUGCCUAACAUUAUGUUUGAUUCUGCAUGGCAAAACUUCUUGGUGGGGGUUGAUUCUCUGAAUAGCUAUGUUACACGGAUACUCCAAGGGAGGUGACGUAUCCGUAUCCGAUACUCGUCGGAUACGCGGAUACGGAUACUCGGAUACACCAUUUUAGUGGAUUUUCUUUUGAGAAAGUGUGUAUCCGCGUAUCCGAUACGUAUUGUAUCGGAUACUCGUAUCCGUACUCGUGUAACGUAGCUGAAUAGUAUGUUCCCAAAUUUCCAAUGCCUGAUGGAUAUUUAUGGGUAGCCAUGGAACUACACAAAUAUAGGUUCAUAUGGCCUGCAUUUUUACCUCUCUGCAUGAAACAUUGGGCAUGAGUUGAAAAAAAAAUAAAACUUGCAAGUUUUGAUUCCAAUUUGAAGAGACAUGUACUUUAUGAUUUGAAGAGGCAUAUAUGUAGAAACUAUAGAGCUAGCUGAGGUCAUUUCAGGUUUUAAGGCAUUCAAAUGUGUUAGAUUUCUUAAAGAAUACAUUUUACACCCCCUGUUUAGUAUAUUAUUUGUAGAUUUCAAUGAAAUCCUAUUUCCUGCUAGAACUACAGAGAUCAUUAUUUUUUCUGCUAUAACACUAUUUUUUAUGGGUCAACAAUAAGAACUAUGCUCGAGUGUAAGCCAAAACGUUUUAUAAUUUGGAAUGGACAGCGAGCUGAGGUACACGAUAUAAACUGACUCAAAUACUCUAUCGAUAAGGCAAAGCUUUGACUUUAUAUAGAAAUGACACAACAGUGACAAAUGGAAAAUGACUAAAAUGUAUCUCAAUGCGAGUAAUUAAUGUAAGCAAGUGUCAGAUCUUGCUUAUUGAACAAACUGUUAUUAUACUUUUGAGCUUAUUCUCAGACAAGCAUGUGGCAAACAAGACAUCAUUAACCCAUUUCAAACGUGAAAAGAUUCAUUGGUCGAUUUGCUCCAGCAUGCGGCACACAGGGUGGGCAACACAGCAACAUCUUUAGAUGGACUCAUCAGUCAUCAAACGCGAGCCAAGCUCCAAACGCGACAAGACUCGACGGCUUUGGUGAGCAGCUCGGUGACGUGGUGAAGAAGCUGGACAAGGUGAUGCAGAAGCUGGACAGCAUGGCUCCAAAGCCUAACUGAUAGCUAACUAGCUAUGGCAGCAAGGACUUCUGGUGAUAUAGCUAACGCAGGGGAUGACUUUUGGAUGUUGUGGCUUUUGGGGACUCUAUGGCAGCAGGGACAAUUCAAACUAGUGGUGAUGUGUGCAUCUGGUGAUGAUGAUGGGUAUUAUGGACACCAAACUAUGCCAGUGAUGAUGUUGUGAUGUAUAUAUUAUGAUAUGUAUGGAAACCUAGCUAAAUGCAUGGUUGUGGCUAUAUGCAUCUAUCUUUAUGAUAUCUCUUUUA